rnacentral:rRNA from 1 species
UACGGAGGGUGCAAGCGUUGUUCGGAAUUAUUGGGCGUAAAGAGCUCGUAGGCGGCUUGUCACGUCGGGUGUGAAAGCCCGGGGCUUAACCCCGGGUCUGCAUUCGAUACGGGCUGGCUAGAGUGUGGUAGGGGAGAUCGGAAUUCCUGGUGUAGCGGUGAAAUGCGCAGAUAUCAGGAGGAACACCGGUGGCGAAGGCGGAUCUCUGGGCCGAUACUGACGCUGAGGAGCGAAAGCGUGGGGAGCGAACAGG